rnacentral:misc_RNA from 1 species
UUUCUUUUUUUUUUUUUUUAUUUGGAAUGGAAAAUAUCAAAAUUUUACUUUCUUUACCUUUAAUUUUUCUGGAACCCAGCAACAUUUAUGUUUCAUAGAAAUGGAAUGAUUGCCCCUUUUUUUUAAUAAUAUAUUUGUCUUUCUUUUUUGGGGAACUUGUGAUGAUCCAUAUGCACUUCUUAUGUGAUUAAAUUAAAUUCACAUGCUAUAACCUACUUAUUGGUAAGCUGAAGUGUGCUAAAAUGGUGAAUUUUAGUUAUUAACUAGUAAAAUGGCAUUAAUUUAUUAUUGGGGAAAUCAAGUUGGGGAACCUUUGUUGUUCGUCCUUAAUUUGGUGAAAAAAAAUGUACAUUGAAUUGUUUUGAAUAUUUGCAUGUUUUUAAUUCUCUAUAGUUUAGCUUUGUUGUUUUGCUAGGCUUUUCCUAGGGCUUAAUGGUUAAAUAGGCAGCUGCAGCUCAUUCAACCUUAUAUUAAAACUUGAUUUGCCAUCCAAUAUCUCAUGCAUCUCUUAACAGAAAAAUUAUAAAGGGUAUAAACUAUUCAGCCAUAUAAACAAAAGGAAGCCAAUAACCUAAUGCAACUUAUUUGAUAAAUAUAUAAAAUAGAGGAGAUAAUUUAACGAAUUUUGAUUAUUCCCUCUUGUAGCAAUUUCUUACUUUUUAUUUUCUGCAAAUAAAAGUUGAAAAAGAAGAUUGUUCAAAUAUAAGAAAACGUAAACAACAAUCCAAUUCAGUUUAUUUAUUAAACAUACAAAACACGCACAACAAAAAAAAAAGGACAACUAAAGAAACGAUGUUAACAAUUACCUCCUGCAGUUGCAAUGUUUUCCUUUUUCCUUUAUUUUGCACAUACAAAUCUCUACCAUGCAAAGUUUGAACUGGGUUUAACAUUCUGUUAACAUAUGAAUUGUUUUUUGUACUACGUACUAAAUAAAAGAAACAAAAAACAAAUAAAGUCAAGGGAGAAAAACUUAUAUAAACUUCUUUUGUUUUUUAAAAAAAUUAUAGUGGAGCAUUCCUUUUUCUUUUUGUGUGUGUAUUUAAUCUUAAAUUUUUCUUAAUUGAUAAUUGAUUUAUUUUAAUUUGCCUCUCGGUUGUUUCAAGAUGUCAACAAUAUAUAGCACUGAAGGUGUGGAGAGUCAUGAUACUGCAGUUUUUGAAUUUUCUGGAAUUUAUCAGACUUUUUAAAUAUUGUUCUAGAUUUGGUUCAGGUUUUAAUUUCCUUUAUUUUACUCAUGAUAUGAGAUUGUGUCUUUUCCUUUUAUUUGAUCUUUAAAGGAAGUAAAAAUCAUGGUGGGAGGUGUAUAAUUGGGAGCAUUGGCUGCCUGUGUAGUGCUUUUUGUGCCUAUGGGGAUAGCUGGCUAGCAUUUGAGCCACAACCGAAUGCUCUUCUUUAGUGGUGCCCUAUUCAUCAUUCUCGCAAUAGGUGUUCAUCUAACUCCCUAUUUUCCUUCUGUGUCUGAUUUUGUCGCCUCUGUUCAAUCCAUUGUUCUAUUUGAUAAUCGUGAGGAUUCUUGCAUUAAUUUGGUUAAUGAACUUGUUUGGGAUGUCAAGCCUAGUCGUAGCCUUGUUCAACGCAACACUAGUAGUAAUAGUAAUAGUAAGAAUGGUGCUAUGAUCUAUGAUAAGAUUUGGGAUUGGACGAAAACUGGGAAAGUGAAGGCUUGUGAGUUUCAGAGACUUGACAGGUCUGAUGCUUCAGAUUUGCUCAAUGGGUCCUGGGUUGUUAUUGCAGGGGAUUCACAAGCAAGGUUAAUUGUUCAAUCUCUGCUAAAUUUGAUUUUAGAUUCGAGACAAAUGGAAUCUAUUAAAGGUGAUUUGUUUAAAAGACACAGUGAUUAUGAGAUUGUUAUCGAAGAUAUCGGUAUGAAAUUGGAUUUUAUUUGGGCUCCAUAUGUGGUAAAUUUAACGGAUUUAAUGAUGGGCUUUAAGCAAAAAAGAAGUUACCCUGAUGUUUUGGUGAUGGGGGCAGGGCUGUGGCAUAUGCUUCGCAUCACAAAUGCAUCAGAUUAUGGUGUUGCUUUGCAGUCUUUGAGGAGUUCUGUUGUAUCUUUGUUACCAUUUUCACCAGAGUUGGGUGUGGAUGGGCCUGUUACAGGUGCUGUUUCUGUUAGAUCCCCACAUUUGUUUUGGCUUGGCAUGCCAAUGUUGAUUAAUGGGAUGUUGAACACAGAGGAAAAGAGGGAGAAGAUGAGUGAUGAAAUGUGGCAUUCUUAUGAUAGAGCAUUGCGUAAUAGUAGGCUCUUGCGCAGAUAUGGUGGUCCACUUCUAUUGCUGGACAUUCAAUCAAUGAGUUGGAAUUGUGGGCCUCGGUGUACUGCUGAUGGGAUGCAUUAUGAUGGAGCUGUUUAUGAAGCUGCUGUUCAUAUUUUGCUAAAUGCAUUGCUUAUUGAAUCUCAUCAGAAGCUUGGGGCUACGUAGUUUCAGAUUUUUAUUAAAUUGUGCAACUCAAACUUGGAUGACAUGAAAGGCGUAUGCAACUAUUUUCGAGCUUUUGAUUCACACGAGAGGCUGAAUUUUCUUCAGAUAUUGCACCUUUGAUAUUUCUUAAAGGCAACUCAAGAGUAAACUUUUAUACUGGUAUAUGCAUAUUGAAUUCAUUGUUUUAAUUUUGCUUUUCAUUUGAAUGAAUAUUGGAUACUCACAACGCUUGGUUUAUGUAGUGAAAAUCAAUAAGAAAAAUUUGUAUCAAUAGUAAAUAGAUGCUUGUUGGCAAUAGAUAGCAUUCUUAUGAAAUUCUGUUCAUGGAAAUCAAAUCCUCUUUGAUUUGAGGUUGUUAUUUGUUAGAAUUGAUUUUGGAUAUUUUAUGCCCAACAAAAACUGUGCUCGUCAAAGUAUGGCUGUUUCAAUAUUCAGCUGUUGUACAUUUGUUAAUUUAUGUGCUUGGAUACAAUGUUUAAGCCAAUCCUUAAAUGCAUUAUUUUCAUUUUU